AUUGAACGCUGGCGGCAGGCCUAACACAUGCAAGUCGAGCGAGCGGCGGACGGGUGAGUAAUGUAUGGGGACUGCCCGAUAGAGGGGGAUGACUACUGGAAACGGUGGCUAAUACCGCAUACUAUCGGAUAACCCAUAUGGGAUUAGCUAGUAGGUGGGGUAAAGGCUCACCUGGGCGACGAUCUCUAGCUGGUCUGAGAGGAUGAUCGGCCAAACUGGGACUGAGACACGGCCCAGACACCUCCGGGGGCAGCAGUGAGGAAUAUUGCAAAAUAGGCUCAAGCCUGAUGCAGCCAUGCCGCGUGUAUGAAGAAGGCCUUAGGGUUGUAAAGUACUUUCAGCGGGGAGGCGUUGCCCGCAGAAGGAGCCCUGGCUAACUCCGUGCCAGCAGCCGCGGUAAUAC
rnacentral:rRNA from 1 species